GAGCGGACAGAUGGGAGCUUGCUCCCUGAUGUUAGCGGCGGACGGGUGAGUAACACGUGGGUAACCUGCCUGUAAGACUGGGAUAACUCCGGGAAACCGGGGCUAAUACCGGAUGGUUGUUUGAACCGCAUGGUUCAAACAUAAAAGGUGGCUUCGGCUACCACUUACAGAUGGACCCGCGGCGCAUUAGCUAGUUGGUGAGGUAACGGCUCACCAAGGCAACGAUGCGUAGCCGACCUGAGAGGGUGAUCGGCCACACUGGGACUGAGACACGGCCCAGACUCCUACGGGAGGCAGCAGUAGGGAAUCUUCCGCAAUGGACGAAAGUCUGACGGAGCAACGCCGCGUGAGUGAUGAAGGUUUUCGGAUCGUAAAGCUCUGUUGUUAGGGAAGAACAAGUACCGUUCGAAUAGGGCGGUACCUUGACGGUACCUAACCAGAAAGCCACGGCUAACUACGUGCCAGCAGCCGCGGUAAUACGUAGGUGGCAAGCGUUGUCCGGAAUUAUUGGGCGUAAAGGGCUCGCAGGCGGUUUCUUAAGUCUGAUGUGAAAGCCCCCGGCUCAACCGGGGAGGGUCAUUGGAAACUGGGGAACUUGAGUGCAGAAGAGGAGAGUGGAAUUCCACGUGUAGCGGUGAAAUGCGUAGAGAUGUGGAGGAACACCAGUGGCGAAGGCGACUCUCUGGUCUGUAACUGACGCUGAGGAGCGAAAGCGUGGGGAGCGAACAGGAUUAGAUACCCCUGGUAGUCCACGCCGUAAACGAUGAGUGCUAAGUGUUAGGGGGGUUUCCGCCCC
rnacentral:rRNA from 1 species